CCCGCCGGCGACCGGCGCACGGGUGAGUAACACGUAUGAAACCUGCCCGUAGCAGGGGGAUAAGCGGAAGAAAUUCCGUCUAAUACCGCGUAACAACCCAUGGAGGCAUCUCUGUGGGUUUAAAGGAAGCGAUUCCGGCUACGGAUGGUCAUGCGUCGCAUUAGCUUGUUGGCGGGGUAACGGCCCACCAAGGCGACGAUGCGUAGGGGUUCUGAGAGGAAGGUCCCCCACACUGGUACUGAGACACGGCCCAGACUCCUACGGGAGGCAGCAG
rnacentral:rRNA from 1 species